UAAGAAUAAUGAAAAAAGAAAAAAAUAGAAAAAAAAGAAAAUCAAAUAAAUAAAUAAUAAUAAUAAUAAUAAUAAUAAUAAUAAAAAGGGCAAAGUGCCCUAAAUGGUUGAAGCCGCUGCACACGGCUUAUGAGGGGAAAAAAAGGAACGAUCUAUGGAAAAAAAAUACGCAGAUAAGAAAAGAAAAGAAAGGGAGAAAAGAAAAGGAAAAAGGAGGAGAAACAACAAUAUUUUUAUCUCGAGAUAUCAAGAUUUUAUUGGUUUGGAAGUCAACCAAACGAGGAAGGCUCAAGUUUUGGAGUCAUUGUUCGACUAUUUGAGGUUACUAGCCCGGACUUUGUGAUAUUUCUCUUCUCCCUGUUUGAGGUUUCUUGGAGAUUUGAGAGGUUGUUGUUUAUCGCCUCAGCGUACUUUCUUUCUCCUUAGUUAAGAUCUUAUUCUAUUCUAGAAACAAGUUCAUUUGAGACUAGCGUUGCUUUUGAAUCAAUUGUAAUACUUUAGAGACUUGUACACGUGAC